rnacentral:rRNA from 1 species
CCUACGGGGGGCAGCAGUCGAGAAUCAUUCACAAUGGGGGAAACCCUGAUGGUGCGACGCCGCGUGGGGGAAUGAAGGUCUUCGGAUUGUAACCCCCUGUCAUGUGGGAGCAAAUUAAAAAGAUAGUACCACAAGAGGAAGAGACGGCUAACUCUGUGCCAGCAGCCGCGGUAAUACAGAGGUCUCAAGCGUUGUUCGGAAUCACUGGGCGUAAGGCGUGCGUAGGCUGUUUCGUAAGUCGUGUGUGAAAGGCGCGGGCUCAACCCGCGGACGGCACAUGAUACUGCGAGACUAGAGUAAUGGAGGGGGAACCGGAAUUCUCGGUGUAGCAGUGAAAUGCGUAGAUAUCGAGAGGAACACUCGUGGCGAAGGCGGGUUCCUGGACAUUAACUGACGCUGAGGCACGAAGGCCAGGGGAGCGAAAGGGAUUAGAUACCCCUGUAGUC